ensembl:snoRNA SNORD83A small nucleolar RNA, C/D box 83A
ACUGCUCAGUGAUGAGGACAUGGAAUAUGCACUGGGCACGGUGCCUGAGACCCAUGAGGAGUUUGUUCCAUGCUGCCUUCCUUCUGAGAGCAGC